AUUGAACGCUGGCGGCAGGCCUAACACAUGCAAGUCGAGCGGAUGAGAAGAGCUUGCUCUUCGAUUCAGCGGCGGACGGGUGAGUAAUGCCUAGGAAUCUGCCUGGCAGUGGGGGACAACGUUUCGAAAGGAACGCUAAUACCGCAUACGUCCUACGGGAGAAAGCAGGGGACCUUCGGGCCUUGCGCUAUCAGAUGAGCCUAGGUCGGAUUAGCUAGCUGGGGAGGUAAUGGCUCACCACGGCGACGAUCCGUAACUGGCCUGAGAGGAUGAUCAGUCACACUGGAACUGAGACACAGUCGAGAAUCCUACAGGAGGCAGCAGUAGGGAAUAUUUGACAAUUGGCGAAAACCUGAUCCAGCCAUGCCGCGUGUGUGAAGAAGGUCUUCGGAUUGUAAAGCACUUUAAGUUAGGACGAAGGGCAGUAAGAUAAUACCUUUCUGUUUUGACGUUACCGACAGAAUAAGCACCGGCUAACUCUGUGCCAGCAGCCGCAGUAAAAC
rnacentral:rRNA from 1 species